rnacentral:rRNA from 1 species
AACGAACGCUGGCGGCAGGCUUAACACAUGCAAGUCGAACGGGUGUAGCAAUACAUCAGUGGCAGACGGGUGAGUAACACGUGGGAACCUUCCUAGAGGUACGGAACAACGCAGGGAAACUUGCGCUAAUACCGUAUACGCUCUUGCGAGGAAAGAUUUAUCGCCUUUAGACGGGCCCGCGUCGGAUUAGCUAGUUGGUAAGGUAACGGCUUACCAAGGCGACGAUCCGUAGCUGAUCUGAGAGAAUGAUCAGCCACACUGGGACUGAGACACGGCCCAGACUCCUACGGGAGGCAGCAGUGGGGAAUCUUGGACAAUGGGCGCAAGCCUGAUCCAGCCAUGCCGCGUGAGUGAAGAAGGCCUUCGGGUUGUAAAGCUCUUUUGUCAGGGACGAUAAUGACGGUACCUGAAGAAUAAGCCCCGGCAAACUUCGUG